CCUGUAUGAUGAUAGACGAAUACUGACUGAACCAUGAGGUUUGAUUAGCUCUACCUGAUC
ensembl:snoRNA